rnacentral:misc_RNA from 1 species
UGACAAGCCCCUCCGCCUCCCCCUGCAGGAUGUCUACAAGAUUGGGGGGAUUGGCACUGUGCCAGUUGGGCGAGUUGAGACUGGUGUUUUGAAGCCUGCGAUGGUUGUUACCUUUGGCCCCACUGGUCUGACCACUGAAGUGAAGUCUGUUGAGAUGCACCACGAGGCACUUGUGGAGGCCCUACCUGGUGACAAUGUUGGCUUCAAUGUGAAGAAUGUUGCUGUUAAG